GGGAAUAUGGCUUAGUGGUAGAGUGCUUGCCUAGCAUGCAUGAAGUCCUGGGUUCAAUUCCUCAGUACCA
rnacentral:tRNA from 1 species